rnacentral:rRNA from 1 species
GACGAGCCACACAAACGUUAUUCGGAAUUACUGGGCUUAAAGGGUGCGUAGGCGGCGCGGAAAGUUGGGUGUGAAAGCCCUCGGCUCAACCGAGGAAUUGCGCCCAAAACUACCGUGCUUGAGGAAGAUAGAGGUGAGCGGAACUCAGGGUGGAGCGGUGAAAUGCGUUGAUAUCCUGAGGAACACCGGUGGCGAAAGCGGCUCACUGGUCCGGUACUGACGCUGAGGUGCGAAAGCGUGGGGAGCAAACAGG